rnacentral:lncRNA from 1 species
AUAAUUUAACUAAAUUAAAUUAUUUAAUCUUAAAAAAAAAAAAAUUUAAGAUAUUAAUUAGUUUUAGGGUUAACUGUCUACAGCUUCCUGUAAAUAUACCGAAUAGCAAAUAUAUUUCUGCAAAGUUGCAAAAAUUCAAUAAUAUUCAUAUUUGUCCUUUUAGUUUGUUACUGUUAGAGCACUGUUUAUUUUUUAGUAGUAGAUAAGUAAAAUAAUAUUUUUGCCCUCACAAAUAUAUUCCUAGCUUCAAAAGCCUCAACUGUUAGAAUUAUGAAGAAUCCUCCCGAAAACGUAUUUUACCUAAUAAUAUAAGCGGGGUAAAAAGAUUAUCAAGGUUAAGUAUUUUAUUUAUGAUUAAUUAUAUUUUUUUAAACGGAUUCUACCAGUACAAUCAUAUUGAAAAUAUUAGGACUUUUGCAGGGAUAAAACUACAAAAUUAAACUUUAUAGGAAUAUAUCUGCUAUUCGAUAUCUAUAACUAUACAUAAAUUCUAAUGGCUAAAUCUACAUGGGUAUACCAUCUUCAUUUGAGGGUGGUGGAAUCAACUAUUAUUUUUUAUUUUU